rnacentral:rRNA from 1 species
AACGAACGCUGGCGGCGCGCCUAAUACAUGCAAGUCGAGCGAGAAGACGUAGCAAUACGUUUGUAAAGCGGCGAACGGGUGAGGAAUACAUGGGUAACCUACCCUCGAGUGGGGAAUAGCUAGCCGAAAGGUUAGCUAAUACCGCGUACGCUCCUUGGACUUCGGUUCAGGGAGGAAAGCGAUACCGUGGGUAUCGCGCUCUUGGAUGGGCUCAUGUCCUAUCAGCUUGUGGUGAGGUAACGGCUCACCAAGGCUUCGACGGGUAGCUGGUCUGAGAGGACGAUCAGCCACACUGGCACUGCGACACGGGCCAGACUCCUACGGGAGGCAGCAGUAAGGAAUAUUGCGCAAUGGGCGAAAGCCUGACGCAGCGACGCCGCGUGGGGGA